GAUAAACGCUGGCGGCGUGCCUAAAACAUGCAAGUCGUACGGGCUUCGGCUUCGGCCGGAGUCAGUGGCGGACGGCUGAGUAACACGUGGGUGACCUACCUCCGAGCGGGGGAUAAUUGCCCGAAAGGGUGGCUAAUACCGCAGACGUUGUCGGAUCGUACCGGCAACUCAACCCGCAAGGGGCUUGGAGAGGGGCCCGCGGCCGAUUAGCUUGUUGGUGGGGUAAUGGCCUACCAAGGCGACGAUCGGUAGCUGGUCUGAGAGGAUGAUCAGCCAGACUGGGACUGCGACACGGCCCAGACUCCUACGGGAGGCAGCAGUUAGGAAUUUUGGGCAAUGGGGGAAACCCUGACCCAGCAACGCCGCGUGGGUGACGAAGGCCUUCGGGUUGUAAAGCCCUUUUCCAGGGGAAGAUAGUGACGGUACCCUGGGAAUAAGCCCCGGCUAACUACGUGCCAGCCGCCGCGGUAAGAC
rnacentral:rRNA from 1 species